AGGGGAGGUGAGGGGGCUUCCUGGACCUGAGAGGGGCCCUAGGAGCACAUGCAGUGGUGCGAGGUGAAUGUGCUGCCAGGUGCUAUAUCCCCUUGUCCUCUGUUUGGGAACUUGAAAUAUGGUAACCCUAGCAAAGGAUCUAAAAGUUAUCGCAAUAUUUUUUGUGAUCUUGUGACCCCCUCUACAAUAGCUUUGUGACCCCUUUUUGGGUAGGGACUCCCGGUUUGAGAAAUGCUUCCCUAAAGGCUAUUAGUAUGUGGAAACAGGGUCCUGUUGAAAGUGUCUAAAAUGUAGCUAAAGACACAAAGUUGUGUGGGUUUUGAUAUUUACUAUUCAUUUUUACAUUCUGGAAUAUUUUUUUUAAAACACACUUUUCAGUCCUUGAGAUGACAGUUUUUCAUUAGUGGAAUAAUAGUCUCCCCUGCUGGAAAAGCUCUAGCCUUUUGCUGUAUAUUGAAAAAUGAGAGAUUGUUGGUAUGCUUUCCUGACAAAUUAAGAAUGCUCAGUGUUCUGUACCAUGAGUUUUCCAUGUCUGAUAUGCAUUGAAUGUAUGUUUUAAGCUACAGUAUUUAUUUUCAUGUUAUGGAAAGUUGAAGAAAGAUGAAAUAAAGACUACAGUUCAGUGCUCUGGGGAGUGAGGGGAAGAGAGAGACUUAGACAAUAAAUCCCCAGAACUGGAAAUCUCAACUUGUGAUGCUUUUUUUGCUCUAUGCUGUCACGUAGCAGCUGUGUGCCAUCUUGACUCCGGUGGGGAGGUCCAGUUUCCUCACAGUUCCUUCACUCUGGUACUGCUGAUCCUGCUGUUUUUCUGCUUCAUUACACUAAUCUGUGCAUUGUUGGUGCCUUUUCACUUCCAGCCCUUCAGACAGGUUCAAAGGCUACUUUAAUGGAACCAAAGAAAAGCGCUACAGCCCCACAAAAAUAUUCAACCAAUUUAGCAAAUAUUCAAUAGUAUGAUUACAGAAUUAAAUUCAGCUGCAAUGGUACAAUGACAGGCUUAAAGGAAAUCCAGACUGAAGUUCAACCUCUUUGGUGAGAAGUUGAUACAGUGAAAAACCUGUUGUUCUAUUUAACGGACUGCUAAAUUAUGAGCUGCUGGAAGUGAGUAAGAAUAGCAAACCUUUCUUGUUGCAGUUAAUAAUUAUGGCAGAAAGUCCUUGUUUGUCUCUUCUCUUUGGAAGUAAAAGCCCUGCUGUCAGGCACAGAUUUGCCCGUGGUUCCUGUCUAUUUGGUGGAGGCUGUUUGUGGUGCUGGAGAGGCAUCUGUAAUGCUGGGGAGUUGCCAGGACCUCAUUAAGUGCAUCUUGGAUCACAGCCAGACGUCCAAUGCAGUGGAGCCUCAGCAUUUUCUCUGAGAACCAAGAGAAGCAACUGGAAAAGGGGGAGGGGAAAGGAAGAAAAGUCUGCUUCACCUAUGAAUUGCUGUGUUUUAUUGUGUUAAAUGGGUCUAGCUGAACUUUUGGAAUUAAAUUUAGCCCUUAACGUCUACUAGCUGUUGUAAAGCUGAAUAGAGCAUCCCCUGGCCCCCUUCUUCCUUUUUUUUUUUUUAAUUAAUGAGACACAACAAUUGUAAUAGGGCAUUCAAACUUCUGUCCUUCAAUACUGUUAAUAAAAGUGACUUUUCUUUUGCAGUUUUAUGACCCAGAUGAGAAUGAAGUAAACAUGACCAGUGUAGCAAAAUAAGGCAGUUUAAAAGAUAAUUUGUGAAGUUUGAGCCUCAGAUUUUCCAUAUCUUUAAAAUUGUACAUUCUCUUGAAAAGGAAAUAUAUCAGUUGAUCCUUAUGUCCUUAAAUUGCUCACUGUAACAGUAAAUGAUGUGAAUGAAAUGCUAAUGUACAUACAUUUGUGCAUAACUUUCUGUAAUGCACAUGCCUAGGUUUCUUUAAGUAUAUAAUACAUGCAAUAAUUAAAAUAUUAUAUACUUCAAUUACACAGCUGGAGAAAUAAAUGUUUACCUGCAAGAGGCCAUAUUUUAAGAUCUUUUUAGAUAUUUGAGACCUAAAGUAACUCAGUCCUUCUGAGAUCAAACAAGAAAGUUCGUAGCUCUCUGAAAUGAAGUUCUUCUAAUGCAGAAGGAAAAAGUAGAAUGCAACCUGUGAUCAUACUACUAAACUAAAUUCAAGCUAUUAAAAAGUAUAUCUUUGUGGUGCUGGUGUAGCUUUGAGUAGUGCUGGCCAUAAAAAGCUCUUUGUACAGACACAGGGUAAAAAGUACUGCCUUAUCAAAUGUUUUGAACAACUCACAUGUAAAAUUGUACACUGAGACUAGCUAAGCGUGAAGGGAACCCAGAAUAGUUUAGUGUUCAGCAGUUAUGUGAUUAUAAUGUGAAUUGAUCUCACUGAAUGGCUUAGAAGAGUGUGUUACUUGGAUACGCCUCAAUCAGUCUCUUCUCUGUCUUCCUCAUACCCCUUCCCAUAAAGUCUCCAAUACUGAUUGAAAAAAGACAUGAAAAUUAAGCUACAGUGUGAUACUAUCCAGCACUGUCAACUGUGAAAGGUAUUAUUUGUUCAUGUUAGCUGAUUUGUUACGUAAAUUAGCAAAAUAAAUCUCUUCCAGGCUUUUAAAAUUUUGUUUCUUUUGCAAAUACCUGAGUUGUAAACUAAUACUGGGAGAUCUAAUAGGAUAUCCAGGAAAACAGCAAUCUGGCCAGCACAGCUGGGCCAGAGGGAGAUCAUUUUUCCUGGAGGAAUGGUGGAUUUUGUUGUUGAUUAUAGUAUGUAUAUGGUAAACUUCCAUACAGCACAAUUUUUGUUGUACACUGUGAAAAUGGAAACUAAAAAUGUGCCAAGUUAUCUAUGAUACUGGAUUGCGAAGUACAUGGAGACAUAAAAUUCAUGUACUCACAAAUGCCCCCAAACUAAUCAGUUUGUAGCAGAGCUCUCAGAAUAAGUUGAACUGUUUGUUGCUGUGAGUACACUACAGCUUUUCUGUGAAUUUUACAAGGAAUUACUAUGGACAGCUUUGCCCAUUUUAUGUUCCAUACUUAUUUUUUAGUAUAAGAUUUUUGUACAGUAAUGAAUAUGUAUUGUAGGUAUUUACUUGACAUCACUGUUCAAGAUAUGGGAGUUAUUCUCAUAUUUUAUUUGAGCUUGUGAAAAUGCUUCAAAUUGAGAUGAACUAUAGUCAGAGAAAUUGGACACUGGUAAACACUGUUGCUCUUUGUACAGCAGCAGAUUGGUUAAUAGAUUCAUGCUGCUGCUCUCUGCAAAGGAGCCAGGUCCGAACAAGAGGCCCACUGUUCCUGUGUGUUCUGGGAUGUGGAUAUAUUCAUAGUUAGUUGGGAUCUUUCUCUGGGGACAGUUGGGCAACCCAUGGUUGUUGGGUGUUUUUAGUUUGUUUUUUUUACUACUUUUGUUUUGGCAGUGCAAGCUGUAAUAUUGAUGAGUGAUUAAAACACUUUUAAAAAGAAGCAUUGAAUUUGUGUAAAACCAUUCCGCAGUUUCUGAAAGAAAACAUUGUUACUUUCACGUUUUUUUUCUUUCCUCUCUCACAUUGACACUUACUGUUGAUGGUGGUUUUUGUUUUGUUUUGGUUGCUGUUUGAUUCUUGAAAAAGGCUGCUUGAUCAACUUAUUAUUUAGUCUACCUGAACUGUUCCACCUCUUACACAGUAAGACUUUGACAAAAAAAAGGGUAUAAACAAGGAUAAACAAAUCAGUGCAAGCAAAGGAGUCCACUGAACAACCAAAAAGUAAUACAUGGGCUGGCAAAAGUUGACCAGCAUUUCAAGUCGUGCUGUAAUUUACCAGAGAAACCCUCAAAUUAAAAAAAAAAAAAAAAAGACCUACUUUGUAGGCUAAUAAUGUUAGUAUAUACCAGACUACUGAUGUGUUUGCUGUUAAAAUAAAUUUUAGUUAUGCAAACUUUGAAAUUAUUUGGAGCAAAAAAAUAAAA